ACUCAUUUCUCAAACUCAACAUUGAAUCUCACACCGCCCGUCAGGCUAGUGAAGAUAAUAGACUUGAAGAAAAGGAAGUGGUACGUGAUAAUUACAAAUUGACUGAUUUAGAUGAUGAUUUUCAUUAUGACAUGAAUGACAAAGAACAAAUUUUUGUUGGAUUAAAUUCAGAUCAUACCGUCGAUCUUUUGAGAUGUUAUGAGAAUAUUAUAAGCCCUAUCAAUGGAACAAAAUCAUAGCCUCGAGUUGUUGCUUCCCCAAUCAAACCACCAGAAUGGUUUGUGCCUAAAAAGGGAAGAAAAGAGAAGCGGAGACAUAGAUAGGAAGAAGAUGUAAUAACCCAUUCGGGGUCCAAAGCAAAGUUGAAUAAGAGGGGUACCAUGGUGAAAUGGCUGGUGUAUGGUUCAAUGAAAUUGAAAUUUUAUAUAUUGGCGUAUAGUUUAGUUUGGUUGGAAUCUCAUAUGUAACUUUUACUUUGUGGGCAAAUUUUAUACAAGUAACAUUACGCAUUUACUUCAUUUAUAGUAUCAUUUGUCAA